rnacentral:rRNA from 1 species
GCGCACAGGUGCUGCAUGGCUGUCGUCAGCUCGUGUCGUGAGAUGUUGGGUUAAGUCCCGCAACGAGCGCAACCCUUGUCCUUAGUUGCUACGCAAGAGCACUCUAAGGAGACUGCCGGUGACAAACCGGAGGAAGGUGGGGAUGACGUCAAGUCCUCAUGGCCCUUAUGGGUAGGGCUUCACACGUCAUACAAUGGUCGGAACAGAGGGUUGCCAACCCGCGAGGGGGAGCUAAUCCCAGAAAACCGAUCGUAGUCCGGAUUGCACUCUGCAACUCGAGUGCAUGAAGCUGGAAUCGCUAGUAAUCGCGGAUCAGCAUGCCGCGGUGAAUACGUUC